UUGCAGAAUUCCGCGAAUCAUCGAGUCUUUGAACGCAAGUUGCGCCCGAGGCUUGUCCGAGGGCAUUUCCGCUAGAGCGUCACC
rnacentral:rRNA from 1 species